UCUCCCUUAGCUCAGUUGGUUAGAGCAUCUGACUGUUAAUCAGAGGGUCCAAGGUUCGAGUCCUUGAGGGAGAG
rnacentral:tRNA from 1 species